AAAAAAUAAAAAAGCUCUUAAAGUAUUAUUAUGAGUUAUUUAUAUUUAUUAUUUAUUAUUAGAGACCAUAGAUUCUAAAAUAUUUCAAAACUCAAAACUCAUUAUACGUUUCAUACAACCAAACCCCAUUCACAACCAAUAUCUCAAUACACAGAUAAAAUCAUCUCAUUUAAAUCCCAAUUAAAACCAAAUUCAAUCUCAUUCAANUCAAAACUCAUUAUACGUUUCAUACAACCAAACCCCAUUCACAACCAAUAUCUCAAUACACAGAUAAAAUCAUCUCAUUUAAAUCCCAAUUAAAACCAAAUUCAAUCUCAUUCAAUAGCUUCCUUAAAAUCAAUUUGGAAAGCGAAUCAAAGUAAAUAAUUCAAUUUAAUGACACGACCGGUAUAAAUUGAGAGCUUUUUUACACACUAGAAAGGGGGAGGAUAAAAUACAAACAAAUCACUACACACAAAAUAAAAUCCAACUCUUUCUUUUCACCACAAAAACCAACACACAUGAGCCAUUAAAGUAUUGUUGCAGUUAAAGGUUGCGGUUAGUGUGAAUAUAUCCCGAACCGCAUCGUCAAAAACCAAAUCUGCAGUAACAACACAAACACCAAUAACUUGUUCACCACAAACUUCAGCCACCACUAACACAACUUAAAUCACCAGAUUCACCAGUAAUAUAACAAAAAAGGGUUGAAUCCAAAAGGCAUUCACAUAAACGAAAUCGAAACUGAAGAUAGAGAACAACCGAACACAACCUCCACCGUUAACUGUCACACCGCCGUCCGCUCUCAGCUACGGAACCGCCAGAGGACGUCGUGCCACCUCUCUCUGAUGAGUCAAGCCGUCACAAGCUCUCCUCCAUAAAUUCGUUGCAAACCGAGAUCGCACAACUCCGACGCGAUUUUGCAGCUCCGGCGAAGGCACGGUAUAUCAUUCUUUCCUUUUGAUUCUUGAUUUUGAUUAACAAACUGAUUAUUAUAACAGGGAUGGAGCUUGAUGCUUGCUUUGAUUGCUGAAACUAGAAAAAGUGUGGCUUUGAAUUUUUUCUAAAAGUUUGUGUUUGAUUUUGAGAUAGGGUACCCUUUUCUAAUUCUAAGUAAUACUGAUUACUUACUGUAUUUUGGGUUUUCACGUUUGUUCUCAUUGAUUGCAUUAAUUCCUUUUUCCUUUUAUUUUAUUUUAUUGGGAAAAUACAUGUGUCUAAUUAUCAUAGGGGCAUGUUGGGUUGAAAAAGUCAUAGCUACCACCAUAAAGGUGGUCCGCCCCAUGUGGCAAUUUGUUUUUCUUUUUAAUUAUUAUUUUUCUCUUAUAAUUAAUUUUAUUAAAAUUAGGGUUAAAGAUAUGAAAUCGGAUCUUGGACUCUAUCCUUGCUAUUCACAAUCC
rnacentral:lncRNA from 1 species